UACGUAGGGUGCGAGCGUUGUCCGGAAUUAUUGGGCGUAAAGAGCUCGUAGGCGGUCUGUCGCGUCUGCUGUGAAAUCCCGAGGCUCAACCUCGGGCCUGCAGUGGGUACGGGCAGACUGGAGUGUGGUAGGGGAGACUGGAAUUCCUGGUGUAGCGGUGGAAUGCGCAGAUAUCAGGAGGAACACCGAUGGCGAAGGCAGGUCUCUGGGCCACUACUGACGCUGAGAAGCGAAAGCAUGGGGAGCGAACAGG
rnacentral:rRNA from 1 species